AUACGUAGGUGACAAGCGUUAUCCGGAUUUACUGGGCGUAAAGGGCGUGUAGGCGGCCUUGCAAGUCAGAAGUGAAAUUCCUGAGCUCAACUCGGGCGCUGCUUCUGAAACUGCAGGACUUGAGUGCUGGAGGGGAUAGCGGAAUUCCUAGUGGAGCGGUAAAAUGCGCAGAUAUUAGGAAGAACACCGGUGGCGAAGGCGGCUAUCUGGACAGUAACUGACGCUGAGGCGCGAAAGCGUGGGGAGCAAACAGGAUUAGAUACCCUGGUAGUCCACACCGUAAACGAUGAAUACUAGGUGUAGGGGGUAUCGACUCCCUCUGUGCCGCAGUUAACACAAUAAGUAUUCCGCCUGGGGAGUACGGCCGCAAGGUUGAAACUCAAAUGAAUUGGCGGGG
rnacentral:rRNA from 1 species